AUUGAACGCUGGCGGCAUGCCUUACACAUGCAAGUCGAACGGCAGCACGGGUGCUUGCACCUGGUGGCGAGUGGCGAACGGGUGAGUCAUACAUCGGAACGUACCUUAUCGUGGGGGAUAACGCAGCGAAAGCUGUGCUAAUACCGCAUACGCCCUGAGGGGGAAAGCGGGGGAUCGCAAGACCUCGCCAGAUGACAGCGGCCGAUGCCUGAUUAGCUUGUUGGUGGGGUAAAAGCCCACCAAGGCGACGAUCAGUAGCUGGUCUGAGAGGACGAUCAGCCACACUGGGACUGAGACACGGCCCAGACUCCUACGGGAGGCAGCAGUGGGGAAUUUUGGACAAUGGGGGCAACCCUGAUCCAGCAAUGCCGCGUGAGUGAAGAAGGCCUUCGGGUUGUAAAGCUCUUUUGUCAGGGAAGAAACACCGGCUCUAACACAGUCCGGGAAUGACGGUACCUGAAGAAUGAGCACCGGCUAACUACGUGCCAGCCGCCGCCGUAA
rnacentral:rRNA from 1 species